CCAGCUAAUGAUACAAACCCUUACAAUGUGUUCAGACCUAGGGAAAAGGUGCACCGUCUUCACACAAGAAGGAUGCAAAGGAGAGAAAAUAGUGUUCAAUCCUUUGAAAAACUUCGCCAGGUUAGACGUAACUUGGACCAGGUCAAAACAAUAUUGGAGGCUUUGAUUAAG